AUACGGGAGGCAGCAGUAAGGAAUAUUGCUCAAUGGCCGAAAGGCUGAAGCAGCAACGCCGCGUGAGGGAUGAAGACCUUAUGGUUGUAAACCUCUGUAGAAAGGGAGAAAACCUCCACUCUGUGGAGAUUGAUAGUACCUUUAAAGUAAGCCCCGGCUAACUACGUGCCAGCAGCCGCGGUAAUACGUAGGGGGCAAGCGUUGUCCGGAUUUACUGGGUGUAAAGGGUGCUCAGGUGGUUGUGCAAGUCAGAGGUGAAAUCCUAGAGCUUAACUCUGGAACUGCCUUUGAUACUGCAUAGCUUGUGUACGGAAGAGGCUGAUGGAAUUCCUGGUGUAGCAGUGAAAUGCGUAGAUAUCAGGAAGAACACCAGUGGCGAAGGCGGUCAGCUGGUCCGUUACAGACACUAAAGCACGAAAGCGUGGGGAGCAAACAGGAUUAGAUACCCCGGU
rnacentral:rRNA from 1 species